AUUGAACGCUGGCGGCAUGCCUUACACAUGCAAGUCGAACGGUAACAGGUCUUCGGAUGCUGACGAGUGGCGAACGGGUGAGUAAUACAUCGGAACGUGCCUAGUAGUGGGGGAUAACUACUCGAAAGAGUGGCUAAUACCGCAUGAGAUCUACGGAUGAAAGCAGGGGAUCGCAAGACCUUGUGCUACUAGAGCGGCCGAUGGCAGAUUAGGUAGUUGGUGGGAUAAAAGCUUACCGAGCCGACGAUCUGUAGCUGGUCUGAGAGGACGAUCAGGCACACUGGGACUGAGACACGGGCCAGACUCCUACGGGAGGCAGCAGUGGGGAAUUUUGGACAAUGGGCUCAAGCCUGAUCCAGCAAUGCCGCGUGCAGGAUGAAGGCCUUCGGGUUGUAAACUGCGUUUGUACGGAACGAAAAGCCCUGGGUUAAUACCCUGGGGUCAUGACGGUACCGUAAGAAUAAGCACCGGCUAACUACGUGCCAGCAGCCGCGGUAA
rnacentral:rRNA from 1 species